AUUGAACGCUGGCGGCAUGCCUUACACAUGCAAGUCGAACGGCAGCACGGGGGCAACCCUGGUGGCGAGUGGCGAACGGGUGAGUAAUGCAUCGGAACGUGUCCUCUUGUGGGGGAUAACCAGUCGAAAGAUUGGCUAAUACCGCAUGAGAUCGCAAGAUGAAAGCGGGGGACCGCAAGGCCUCGCGCGAGAGGAGCGGCCGAUGCCGGAUUAGCUAGUUGGUGGGGUAAAAGCCUACCAAGGCGACAAUCCGUAGCUGGUCUGAGAGGACGACCAGCCACACUGGGACUGAGACACGGCCCAGACUCCUACGGGAGGCAGCAGUGGGGAAUUUUGGACAAUGGGCGCAAGCCUGAUCCAGCCAUGCCGCGUGUGUGAAGAAGGCCUUCGGGUUGUAAAGCACUUUCGGACGGAACGAAAUCGCGCGGACGAACAUUCCGCGUGGAUGACGGUACCGUAAGAAGAAGCACCGGCUAACUACGUGCCAGCCGCCGCCGUAAGAC
rnacentral:rRNA from 1 species